UAGACCAGAAGAUGACAGGAAAUGGCAGACUAGGGCUAACAUGCUGGAGAGAUUACAGCUGAACAACAGAUCAUCCUCUUUUCCUCAGUGAUGACAGAGUCAGCUGCCAACCAUUUGAUCUGGGAAACAAAGUUGCAAAUUACAUAAUUUGAUCAGGUGAACUCCUCCAGAGUGGUUAACUGAUUGAGAAAUAAGAGAUUGGUUCUGGCCACCAGGAAUUUGGCCACAGAGGGAACCCAGUACGACGGGAGAAUGAAGAAGAGCCAAGGUGUUAGUCGCUCAGUCGUGUCCAACUCUUUGUGACCCCGUGGACUGUAGNNNNNNNNGCUCCUCUGUCGAUGGGAUUCUCCAGGCAAGAAUACUGGAGUGGGUAGCCGUUCCUUCUCCAAGGCAUCUUCCCCACCCAGGGAUCAAACCCAGGCCUCCUGCAUUGCAGGCAGAUUCUUUACUCUCUGAGCCACCAGGAGGCCCCAGUGACAGGAGAAUAGUGGCCAAUCGACCACUACCUACCAGAGGGCGAGCAACAAGACUUUGUGAUGGUGGAGCUGAAGCCAGAAAGAAGACGACUGCCUUUGUGUUUACCUGUGUCACCAGUGAAAUAGCCUCCAGGCCUUUGCAUCACCCUGAUCACACUACAAAGCAGCCUGCAGGGGUUGGGCAGCCACCACAAGAAACUUGCGAAGAAGGAAGAUUCUUAGGCCCCAGCCCAGACCCACCAGAAACGGUUUUAACAACCCCUCCAGAGUUCUGAGGCACCAAGGCUGGAACGCUGACGCACUUCUCGUGGGAAGUCUUCUCCUUCGGAGAGACUGUGGAGGGGCCGGUGGGGCUCCGCCCAGGAGCUGUCCCCAUGACUGAGGCUGCAGAGAACCGAGCAAGAAGCGGCCAGGCCGGGGAAAGGCUCAGCACUGGGCGGCCGCGCAGGGUCGGCCUCCCCACAUGGGGACCGGCGCCUGACCUCUUGUCUUCCGCUGAGGGAGAGAACUGAAGCGAAAACAAGGGCCCCUCUCCUCCUCGCCCCUCUCUCACCUCCGUUUCUCACUCUCAGACUCCCAUCUCCUCCCGCCUGGUCUCCCGGUAACAGCCGCUGGGUCCAGCCCCGCGCAUGGCUGAUGGGGCGCGGGGUGCGGGGAAGCGCACG
rnacentral:lncRNA from 1 species